GAUUAAAAAAUUAUUAUUUAUAGUAGAUUUUUGUUUAAAUAAAAAAAUAAUUUUUUUAUUAAGUUUUAUGAAUAAAUUUAUAUAUAUAUAUAUAUAUAUAUAUAUAUAUAUAUAAUUAUAGGGUAUUAGUAUUGUGAGAGAAUUUUUAUUUUUAUUUAAAAGAAAAAUUUAAGUUUUGUACCUUGUGUAUCAGGGUUUAUUAAAAAAUUUAUAAAGUUUUAUAAUUCUCGAAUUUGAAAGAGCUAUAUUAUUAUUAUUUUUUUUGUUGAAUAAAAAUUAAUAAUAGUAAUAUAGAGGUGAAAUGCUAUACGAUUUUAAAUAUAUCUAGUUUUUUAAGAAAAAAAUUAAAUUUUAUUAUUAUUAAUUAUUAGUUUGUUUAUUAGGUUUAUUAUAUUAAUAUUUUAUAUUUUAUGGGAUGAGCUAUAAGGUAGAUUUAUAAAAUUUUUUUAAAAUUUAUAUUUUAAAGUAGGAUUAUAAGUUUUUAGUUUAGUUAGUGAGUUAUAUAAAAAAGAUUAGAAGUUUAGAUUUAUAAAGAAUUUAUAUUUUUUAUUAAAAUAAAAUUUUUAAUUAUUUAAAAUUGGUAAUAAUGAUUGAAUUAGUAUAUUUUACUGUGUAUUUUUUUUUUAAAAUUUAAAGGUAAAGUAAAGGAAUUCGGCAAAUUAAUUUUUCACCUGUUUAUUAAAAACAUGGCUUAUUGAAAAUGUUUUUAGGUUUGGUCUGCUCAAUGAUUGAUUUAAAUAGCUGCGGUAUUUUGACCGUACAAAGGUAGCAUAAUCAUUAGUUUUUUAAUUGAGAGCUUGUAUGAAGGAUUUAAUGAGAAAAAAGCUGUCUCUAUUUUAGUAUUUUAAAAUUUUAUUUUUGGGUUAAAAAGCCUAAAUUGGUAUAGAAGACGAGAAGACCCUAUAGAGUUUUAUAUUUUUUAUUUGAUAAAGUUUUAGAAUUAAAUUUAAAAUUUAAAGUAUUUUAUUGGGGUGAUAUAAAAAUUUAAAUAACUUUUUAUUUGUGGUUUCAUUGAUUUAUGAAUAAAUGAUCCUUUAAUAAAGAUUAGAAGAUUAAUUUACCUUAGGGAUAACAGCGUAAUUUUUUUUAGAGUUCUUAUUGAAAAAAAAGAUUGCGACCUCGAUGUUGGAUUAAAAAAAAUUAUUGGUGGAGAAGCUAAAUGAUUAAGUCUGUUCGACUUUUAAAAUUUUACAUGAUCUGAGUUUAAACCGGUGUGAGCCAGGUUGGUUUCUAUCUCUAUAAAUAUAAGAAUAUUUUAGUACGAAAGGACCAAAUAUUUAAUUUAGAAUUUUUGUUUAUUGAAAUUUAUUAAUAUAUAUAUAUAUAUAUAUAUAUAUAUAUAUAUAU
rnacentral:rRNA from 1 species